rnacentral:rRNA from 1 species
UACGUAGGGGGCAAGCGUUGUCCGGAAUCAUUGGGCGUAAAGAGCGUGUAGGCGGCUCGGUAAGUCCGUUCUGAAAGUCCAGGGCUCAACCCUGGGAUGCGGAUGGAUACUGCCGGGCUCGAGUCCGGAAGAGGCGAGUGGAAUUCCCGGUGUAGCGGUGAAAUGCGCAGAUAUCGGGAGGAACACCAAUGGCGAAGGCAGCUCGCUGGGACGUGACUGACGCUGAGACGCGAAAGCGUGGGGAGCAAACGGG